rnacentral:rRNA from 1 species
GCAGGCCUAACACAUGCAAGUCGAACGGUAACAGGAAGCAGCUUGCUGCUUCGCUGACGAGUGGCGGACGGGUGAGUAAUGUCUGGGAAACUGCCUGAUGGAGGGGGAUAACUACUGGAAACGGUAGCUAAUACCGCAUAAUGUCGCAAGACCAAAGAGGGGGACCUUCGGGCCUCUUGCCAUCGGAUGUGCCCAGAUGGGAUUAGCUAGUAGGUGGGGUAACGGCUCACCUAGGCGACGAUCCCUAGCUGGUCUGAGAGGAUGACCAGCCACACUGGAACUGAGACACGGUCCAGACUCCUACGGGAGGCAGCAGUGGGGAAUAUUGCACAAUGGGCGCAAGCCUGAUGCAGCCAUGCCGCGUGUAUGAAGAAGGCCUUCGGGUUGUAAAGUACUUUCAGCGGGGAGGAAGGCGAUAAGGUUAAUAACCUUGUCGAUUGACGUUACCCGCAGAAGAAGCACCGGCUAACUCCGUGCCAGCAGCCGCGGUAAUACGGAGGGUGCAAGCGUUAAUCGGAAUUACUGGGCGUAAAGCGCACGCAGGCGGUCUGUCAAGUCGGAUGUGAAAUCCCCGGGCUCAACCUGGGAACUGCAUUCGAAACUGGCAGGCUAGAGUCUUGUAGAGGGGGGUAGAAUUCCAGGUGUAGCGGUGAAAUGCGUAGAGAUCUGGAGGAAUACCG